rnacentral:rRNA from 1 species
GGUUAAGCGACUAAGCGUACACGGUGGAUGCCCUGGCAGUCAGAGGCGAUGAAGGACGUGCUAAUCUGCGAUAAGCGCCGGUAAGGUGAUAUGAACCGUUAUAACCGGCGAUACCCGAAUGGGGAAACCCAGUGUGAUUCGUCACACUAUCAUUAACUGAAUCCAUAGGUUAAUGAGGCGAACCGGGGGAACUGAAACAUCUAAGUACCCCGAGGAAAAGAAAUCAACCGAGAUUCCCCCAGUAGCGGCGAGCGAACGGGGAGGAGCCCAGAGCCUGAAUCAGCAUGUGUGUUAGUGGAAGCGUCUGGAAAGGCGCGCGAUACAGGGUGACAGCCCCGUACACAAAAGCGCAUGUGCUGUGAGCUCGAUGAGUAGGGCGGGACACGUGGUAUCCUGUCUGAAUAUGGGGGGACCAUCCUCCAAGGCUAAAUACUCCUGACUGACCGAUAGUGAACCAGUACCGUGAGGGAAAGGCGAAAAGAACCCCGGCGAGGGGAGUGAAAAAGAACCUGAAACCGUGUACGUACAAGCAGUGGGAGCACAGGUUUACCUGUGUGACUGCGUACCUUUUGUAUAAUGGGUCAGCGACUUAUAUUCUGUAGCAAGGUUAACCGUAUAGGGGAGCCGUAGGGAAACCGAGUCUUAACCGGGCGUUAAGUUGCAGGGUAUAGACCCGAAACCCGGUGAUCUAGCCAUGGGCAGGUUGAAGGUUGGGUAACACUAACUGGAGGACCGAACCGACUAAUGUUGAAAAAUUAGCGGAUGACCUGUGGCUGGGGGUGAAAGGCCAAUCAAACCGGGAGAUAGCUGGUUCUCCCCGAAAGCUAUUUAGGUAGCGCCUCGUGAAUUCAUCUCCGGGGGUAGAGCACUGUUUCGGCUAGGGGGCCAUCCCGGCUUACCAACCCGAUGCAAACUGCGAAUACCGGAGAAUGUUAUCACGGGAGACACACGGCGGGUGCUAACGUCCGUCGUGAAGAGGGAAACAACCCAGACCGCCAGCUAAGGUCCCAAAGUCAUGGUUAAGUGGGAAACGAUGUGGGAAGGCCCAGACAGCCAGGAUGUUGGCUUAGAAGCAGCCAUCAUUUAAAGAAAGCGUAAUAGCUCACUGGUCGAGUCGGCCUGCGCGGAAGAUGUAACGGGGCUAAACCAUGCACCGAAGCUGCGGCAGCGAACGUAUCACCCAAGACAACUUUACGGAGUUGACGAUUGACGGAGCGAAGCGACGUCAAAGCGUUCAUUAAAGUCGAGUUGGCUUAGGGAUACGUUCGUUGGGUAGGGGAGCGUUCUGUAAGCCUGUGAAGGUGUGUCGUGAGGCAUGCUGGAGGUAUCAGAAGUGCGAAUGCUGACAUAAGUAACGAUAAAGCGGGUGAAAAGCCCGCUCGCCGGAAGACCAAGGGUUCCUGUCCAACGUUAAUCGGGGCAGGGUGAGUCGACCCCUAAGGCGAGGCCGAAAGGCGUAGUCGAUGGGAAACGGGUUAAUAUUCCCGUACUUGGUGUUACUGCGAAGGGGGGACGGAGAAGGCUAUGUUGGCCGGGCGACGGUUGUCCCGGUUUAAGCGUGUAGGUGUGUGUUCCAGGUAAAUCCGGUUCACUUUAACACUGAGGCGUGACGACGAGGCACUACGGUGCUGAAGCAACAAAUGCCCUGCUUCCAGGAAAAGCCUCUAAGCAUCAGGUAACAUCAAAUCGUACCCCAAACCGACACAGGUGGUCAGGUAGAGAAUACCAAGGCGCUUGAGAGAACUCGGGUGAAGGAACUAGGCAAAAUGGUGCCGUAACUUCGGGAGAAGGCACGCUGACACGUAGGUGAAGUGAUUUACUCAUGGAGCUGAAGUCAGUCGAAGAUACCAGCUGGCUGCAACUGUUUAUUAAAAACACAGCACUGUGCAAACACGAAAGUGGACGUAUACGGUGUGACGCCUGCCCGGUGCCGGAAGGUUAAUUGAUGGGGUCAGCGCAAGCGAAGCUCCUGAUCGAAGCCCCGGUAAACGGCGGCCGUAACUAUAACGGUCCUAAGGUAGCGAAAUUCCUUGUCGGGUAAGUUCCGACCUGCACGAAUGGCGUAAUGAUGGCCAGGCUGUCUCCACCCGAGACUCAGUGAAAUUGAACUCGCUGUGAAGAUGCAGUGUACCCGCGGCAAGACGGAAAGACCCCGUGAACCUUUACUAUAGCUUGACACUGAACAUUGAGCCUUGAUGUGUAGGAUAGGUGGGAGGCUUUGAAGUGUGGACGCCAGUCUGCAUGGAGCCGACCUUGAAAUACCACCCUUUAAUGUUUGAUGUUCUAACGUGGACCCGUAAUCCGGGUUGCGGACAGUGUCUGGUGGGUAGUUUGACUGGGGCGGUCUCCUCCUAAAGAGUAACGGAGGAGCACGAAGGUUGGCUAAUCCUGGUCGGACAUCAGGAGGUUAGUGCAAUGGCAUAAGCCAGCUUGACUGCGAGCGUGACGGCGCGAGCAGGUGCGAAAGCAGGUCAUAGUGAUCCGGUGGUUCUGAAUGGAAGGGCCAUCGCUCAACGGAUAAAAGGUACUCCGGGGAUAACAGGCUGAUACCGCCCAAGAGUUCAUAUCGACGGCGGUGUUUGGCACCUCGAUGUCGGCUCAUCACAUCCUGGGGCUGAAGUAGGUCCCAAGGGUAUGGCUGUUCGCCAUUUAAAGUGGUACGCGAGCUGGGUUUAGAACGUCGUGAGACAGUUCGGUCCCUAUCUGCCGUGGGCGCUGGAGAACUGAGGGGGGCUGCUCCUAGUACGAGAGGACCGGAGUGGACGCAUCACUGGUGUUCGGGUUGUCAUGCCAAUGGCACUGCCCGGUAGCUAAAUGCGGAAGAGAUAAGUGCUGAAAGCAUCUAAGCACGAAACUUGCCCCGAGAUGAGUUCUCCCUGAGACUUAGAGUCUCCUGAAGGAACGUUGAAGACGACGACGUUGAUAGGCCGGGUGUGUAAGCGCAGCGAUGCGUUGAGCUAACCGGUACUAAUGAACCGUGAGGCUUAACCUU